rnacentral:rRNA from 1 species
UUUGAUCCUGGCUCAGGAUGAACGCUGGCGGUAUGCUUAACACAUGCAAGUCGAACGGGAUGCUUAGGCAUCUAGUGGCGGACGGGUGAGUAACGCGUGAGAAUCUGGCUCCAGGUCGGGGAUAACAGUUGGAAACGACUGCUAAUACCGGAUGUGCCGAGAGGUGAAAGAUUUAUUGCCUGGAGAUGAGCUCGCGUCUGAUUAGCUAGUUGGUGGUGUAAGGGACCACCAAGGCGUCGAUCAGUAGCUGGUCUGAGAGGAUGAUCAGCCACACUGGGACUGAGACACGGCCCAGACUCCUACGGGAGGCAGCAGUGGGGAAUUUUCCGCAAUGGGCGAAAGCCUGACGGAGCAAUACCGCGUGAGGGAGGAAGGCUCUUGGGUCGUAAACCUCUUUUCUCAAGGAAGAAGAAAGUGACGGUACUUGAGGAAUAAGCAUCGGCUAACUCCGUGCCAGCAGCCGCGGUAAUACGGAGGAUGCAAGCGUUAUCCGGAAUGAUUGGGCGUAAAGGGUCUGCAGGUGGAACUGAAAGUCUGCUGUUAAAGAGUUUGGCUUAACCAAAUAAAAGCGGUGGAAACUACAGAACUAGAGUGUGGUAGGGGCAAAAGGAAUUCCUGGUGUAGCGGUGAAAUGCGUAGAUAUCAGGAAGAACACCGGUGGCGAAAGCGUUUUGCUAGACCAUAACUGACACUGAGGGACGAAAGCUAGGGGAGCGAAUGGGAUUAGAUACCCCAGUAGUCCUAGCCGUAAACGAUGGAUACUAGGCGUGGCUUGUAUCGACCCGAGCCGUGCCGGAGCUAACGCGUUAAGUAUCCCGCCUGGGGAGUACGCACGCAAGUGUGAAACUCAAAGGAAUUGACGGGGGCCCGCACAAGCGGUGGAGUAUGUGGUUUAAUUCGAUGCAACGCGAAGAACCUUACCAAGACUUGACAUCCUGCGAAUCCUGGUGAAAGCUGGGAGUGCCUUAGGGAGCGCAGAGACAGGUGGUGCAUGGCUGUCGUCAGCUCGUGUCGUGAGAUGUUGGGUUAAGUCCCGCAACGAGCGCAACCCUCGUUUUUAGUUGCCAGCAUUAAGUUGGGCACUCUAGAGAGACUGCCGGUGACAAACCGGAGGAAGGUGAGGAUGACGUCAAGUCAGCAUGCCCCUUACGUCUUGGGCUACACACGUACUACAAUGCUACGGACAGAGGGCAGCGAGCCAGGGAUGGCAAGCGAAUCCAGAAACCGUAGCUCAGUUCAGAUCGAAGGCUGCAACUCGCCUUCGUGAAGGAGGAAUCGCUAGUAAUUGCAGGUCAGCAUACUGCAGUGAAUUCGUUCCCGGGCCUUGUACACACCGCCCGUCACACCAUGGAAGUUGGUCACGCCCGAAGUCAUUACCCCAACCGAAAGGAGGGGGAUGCCUAAGGUAGGACU